rnacentral:rRNA from 1 species
UACGAAGGGUGCAAGCGUUAAUCGGAAUUACUGGGCGUAAAGGGUGCGUAGGUGGUUGUUUAAGUCUGUUGUGAAAGCCCUGGGCUCAACCUGGGAAUUGCAGUGGAUACUGGGCGACUAGAGUGUGGUAGAGGGUAGUGGAAUUCCCGGUGUAGCAGUGAAAUGCGUAGAGAUCGGGAGGAACAUCCAUGGCGAAGGCAGCUACCUGGACCAACACUGACACUGAGGCACGAAAGCGUGGGGAGCAAACAGG